ensembl:lncRNA
GCCAAAGUCGACAUGGACGUUCCAACCAAAGAGCCGGACCGUACGCCACCAGUCUCCUCUUCCUCCUCCUCUUCCUCCACCACCACCUCCUCCUCGAACACCUCCUCCUCCUUCCUCCUCCACCACCUCCUCCUCCUCCUCCUCCUCUUCCUCCUCCUCGCCCCCACCGACACCAUCCUCGUGUGCAGCAAAGAGGGGACGUCCAAGGGCCCCCUUCUUCCUCCCCCACCACCUCCUCCAGCUCCUUCUCCGUUGACCCAGACGACCACCACGGCUCUGCUCCUUCCAGCCGUAGUCCUACCUGGUCACCAAAAGCUGGAGCUGACGUCAGCCACAGUAGUGGCAGAGCCCGGGAAAGUGGGCGGGGUUAUAGAGGCGACCACACCCACAGCCCAGGUGGGCGGGGCCUGCAGCAUCGUCCACGUACUGGAGUGGAAGGAGGGAAUGACUCUUCUGCCCACCACUAACCUCAAAUUCUGUGUUGGCGAUGUGGGAACGCUGAGCGCGCUGAUCACCCCGGCGAUCGCCAGCAGCUCCCCCCAACCUGCCGCCGGGGCUUCUGGGAAGUCUGCCGCUGCAGAGGGAGCAGCAGUGACCACGACAGACGUGUCGGCAGCCCCCGCCGUCCCGGGUUGCGGCCCCCCAGUGGAGGCGGUCGAGGCGGGGGUCCCGGUCGAGGCGGGGGUCCCGGUCGAGGCGGGGGUCCCGGUGGAGGUGGGGGUUCAGGUGGGACCGCGGCAGCAGAACCAGGAACCCCGAGCCCAGCGGACCUACCCAGAGGAGCUGCGCAGGGAGCCAAUCACAGAGAAGUACUGAACACGACACGACACACAACACAACACCACACCACAACACACCACAACACAACAUAACUGACAUAACAUAGCAUACAUAACCCAUGGAGCAGCCACACGCUGCUCCUUCUUAGAGAACAGUAUUUACUACGUCCUGAGCGUGGCAGCGAGGCCUGCGAGGCCCGGCUCCGAUACAGGUCCGCC